rnacentral:lncRNA from 12 species
GUUGUUACCCCACAUGUCCCCCUGGGCAUCCUUACUUUGAUGAGGAUACAAUGAAAUGUGUUAAAAAGGAGCAGUGUGGCUGUUAUGACAAAGAGGGGAAACAUUACGGCAAUCAGGAGAUAGUUCCUUCAAUAGAAAAUUGUCAGAUAUGGUAUGCUAUCAUUUCAUGUAAACAAAUACAGUCUACGGUCAUAAAAUGUAGUUUUCAUUUUAAAACUGUUUUUUUUUAAAGCUAUUGCAAGUCCAUGGAGAUCAACUGCAAAUACAAUGCAACUGCUUGCACCUGCACAUUCAAAGGGAAUAAAUAUAUGCAUGGAGACACAAUAUAUAAUACUACAGAUGGGCUUGGCAGCUGCAUGACAGCUGUCUGUGAGGAACAUGGAAUAAUUAAAAAGACUUCAUACCCUUGUCAAACAUCACAUUCAACAACAACCUAUACUUCACCAACUAUCUUUGACUUUUCCCGUAAAAUAGCAGAGACAACUUUGUCAGGAAUGACAGCCAAAUACACUACAGAAACUUUGCCAACAAAGACGGUAUCGUCAUUCACUACAUCCACCACUACUACAAGCAUAACCACAACUCCAAAUCCAACUAAAACAUCCACUUCAACUCCUUCUCCAAGUUUAUCAACUAGCAUGCCUAUACCACCAACUGUCCAAACCUCCUCCACUGUUUCAGGUAAAUCAAUAUCUCUGUCAACAAUAGCAUUUACUACAACUGCCUCAGCAUUUUCUCCAAAAUCCACAACAAUGAAAACAACCACCCUUACUCCUACCCCUGGAUGUAUUUGCAAUUGGUCUGAUUGGAAUGACUCUGGGGGCCCAACAACAGGUCCUGAUGGUGGUGCAGUAGUACCUAUUAAAAGAUUAAUUGACACCUAUCCUACCAUAUGCUCAGCACUAAAGGAAGUACAAUGUCGUGCAAAACAUUAUCCUGGAGUUCCUCUUUCACAGCUUGGACAGGUUGUGAAAUGUAAUAUGAAAGAUGGACUAGUUUGCUUAAAUAAACACCAAGGCCUUGCACAGCAGUGUUACGAAUAUGAAAUUAGAGCAUUCUGUUGUGAUGAAAACUGUGGCAACAUCACAACACAGUCGUUAAAUACAGUAGCUACAACAGUGUCAUCAACAAGCAUGCACAUACCACCAAGUACAACAUCAAUGGUCCAAAGUUCCUCCACUGUUACAAGUAUAUCCACAGACAUAUCAACAACAAUUUCUACUGUUACACAUUCACCAACUUUUCUAACCACAAUGGCUACAACACCAAUGAAGACAUCAACAAGCCUAAUUUCUUCCACAAACACAAGCAUAUCAGCAAAAACUUCCACAUUUUUUUCUGCUACAACUUCAACAAGCAGAUUUACACAAAAAGUUACACCACCAGUCCAGAGUUCCCCCACUGGUAAAAGUAUAUCCACAGCUCCAUCAUCAGUGACAACACCUUCACCAUCAUUUUCAAAUGGCAUGACUACACCACUGACUAAAACAACUUCAGUCCAAAAUUCCUCCAGUAUGACAGGCAUAACUACAACUCCAACAACAAAAACAUCUACAGCUCCAUCAACAACGUCACCAACAUCCACAACAUUGAAAACAAGCACCCUUACUCCUACCCCUGGAUGUAAUUGUCAUUGGUCAGAUUGGAACGACUUUGGGAGCCCAACAGCAGGCCCUGAUGGUGGUGAAAUAGUACCUAUUGAAAAAAUAACUGACACCCAUCCUACCUUAUGCUCAGCACUUAUGGAAGUACAGUGUCGUGCAAGACGUUACCCUGAAGUUCCUCUUUCACAACUUGGACAGAUUGUGAAAUGCAGUACGAAAGAUGGUCUAAUUUGCUUGAACAAACACCAAGGCCUUGCACAGCAAUGCUAUGACUAUGAGAUUAGAACAUUCUGUUGUGAUGAAAACUGUAGAAACAUCACAACACCUUUAGUAAGUACAGCUACUGCAAUGGUGUCAUCAACAAGCAUGCACAUACCACCAAGUACAACAUCAGUGGUCCAAAGUUCCUCCACUGUUACAGGAAUAUCCACAGACACAUCAACAACAAUUUCUACUGGUACAUCUUCACCAACUUUUUCAGUCAGCAUACCUACAACACCAAAUAAGGCAUCAACUUUGAUUUCCUCCACAAGUAUAAGCAUAGCAGCAAAUAAAGCAACAACUUCCAAAAUUUAUUCUGCCACAACUCCAAAUUAUUCAACAAGAAGAUUUACACAAGAAGUUACCACACCAACAGUCCAGAGUUACAUCACUGAUAAAAGCAUACCCACAACUCCAUCAACAAUGAAAACAACAUCACCAGUGUUUUCAACUGGCAUGACUACAACACUGACUAAAACAACUUCUUUCCAAACUUCUUCCAGCAUGACAAACAUAUCUACAACAUCAAAAACAUCUACAUCUCCAUCAAUGACUUCUCUAACUUCCACAACAUUGAGAACCACCACACUUACUCCUACCCCAGGAUGUAAUUGUCAUUGGUCAGACUGGAAUGACUUUGGGGGCCCAACAAAAGGUCCUGAGGGUGGAGAAAUAGUACCUAUUAAAAGAAUAACUGAAAUCUAUCACACAAUUUGCUCAGUUCCAAAGGAAGUAGAAUGUCGUGCAAAACAUUAUCCUGGAGUUCCUCUUUCACAGCUUGGACAGGUUGUGAAAUGCAAUGUGAAAGAUGGACUAGUUUGCUUAAAUAAACACCAAGGCCUUGCACAGCAGUGUUACGAAUAUGAAAUUAGAGCAUUCUGCUGUGAUGAAAACUGCGGCAACAUCACAACACAGUCGUUAAAUACAGUAGCUACAACAGUGUCAUCAACAAGCAUGCACAUACCACCAAGUACAACAUCAAUGGUCCAAAGUUCCUCCACCGUUACAAGUAUAUCCACAGUGAUAUCAACAACAAUUUCUACUGGUACACAUUCACCAAUUUUUCUAACCACAAUGCCUACAACACCAAUGAAGACAUCAACAAGCCUAAUUUCUUCCACAAAAAAAAGCAUAUCAGCAAAAACUUCUACAAUUUUUUCUGCUAUACCUUCACUUUCUUCAACAAGCAGAUUUACACAAAAAGUUACACCACCAGUCCAGAGUUCCCCCACUGGUAAAAGUAUAUCCACAGCUCCAUCAUCAGUGACAACACCUUCACCAUCAUUUUCAAAUGGCAUGACUACACCACUGACUAAAACAACUUCAGUCCAAAAUUCCUCCAGUAUGACAGGCAUAACUACAACUCCAACAACAAAAACAUCUACAGCUCCAUCAACAACGUCACCAACAUCCACAACAUUGAAAACAAGCACCCUUACUCCUACCCCUGGAUGUAAUUGUCAUUGGUCAGAUUGGAACGACUUUGGGAGCCCAACAGCAGGCCCUGAUGGUGGUGAAAUAGUACCUAUUGAAAAAAUAACUGACACCCAUCCUACCUUAUGCUCAGCACUUAUGGAAGUACAGUGUCGUGCAAGAAGUUACCCUGAAGUUCCUCUUUCACAACUUGGACAGAUUGUGAAAUGCAGUACGAAAGAUGGUCUAAUUUGCUUGAACAAACACCAAGGCCUUGCACAGCAAUGCUACGACUAUGAGAUUAGAACAUUCUGUUGUGAUGAAAUCUGUAGAAACAUCACAGAACCUUUACUAAGUACAGCUACUACAACAGUGCCAUCAACAAAAAUGUACAUACCACCAAGUACAACAUCAGUGGUCCAAAGUUCCUCCAGUGUUACAGGAAUAUCCACAGACAAAUCAACAAUAAUUUCUACUGGUACAUCUUCACCAACUUUUUCAAUCAACAUACCUACAACGCCAAUUAUGGCAUCAACAAGCCUGAUUUCCUCCACAAGUAUAAGCCUAUCAGCUACUACAGCAACAUCUUCCACAAUUUAUUCUGCCACAACUUCAAAUUAUUCAACAAGAAGAUUUACACAAGAAGUUACCAAACCAACAGUCCAGAGUUACACCACAGAUAAAAGCAUACCCACAACUCCAUCAACAAUGAAAACAACAUCACUAGUGUUUUCAACUGGGAUGAUUACAACACUGACUAAAACAACUUCAGUCCAAACUUCCUCCAGUAUGACAAACAUAUCUACAACUCCAAAAACAAAAGCAUCUACAAAUCCAUCAAUGACUUCUAUAACUUCCACAACAUUGAGAACCACCACACUUACUCCUACCCCUGGAUGUAAUUGUCAUUGGUCAGACUGGAACGACUUUGGUGGACCAACAAAAGGUCUUGAGGGUGGAAAAAGAGUACCUAUUAAAAGAAUAACUGAAAUCUAUCACACAAUUUGCUCAGUGCCAAAGGAAGUAGAAUGUCGUGCAAAAUAUUAUCCUGGAGUUCCUCUUUCACAGCUGGGCCAGGUUGUGAAAUGUAAUGUGAAAGAUGGACUAGUUUGCUUAAAUAAAUACCAAGGCCUUGCACAGCAAUGCUAUGAUUAUGAGAUCAGAGUAUUUUGUUGUAAUGAAAACUGUGGCAACGUUACAACACAGUCCUCAGCUACAAGUGUUGCAACAAUGUCAUCAGCAAGUGUGCAUACACCACCAAGUACAACAUCAAUCGUCCAAAGUUCUUCCACUGUUGCAAAUAUAUUCACAGAUCUAUCAACAAUUUCUACUGUUACACCUUCACCAACUUUUUCUGCCACCAUACCUACACCAAGUGAGAGUAUAACAACAACAAAAGCAACAACUUCAACAAAGUUUUCUGCUACAACUUCAAUGUUUUUAACAAGCAGGUUUAUAAAUGUUACAAGACCAGCAGUCCAGAGUUCCCCUACUGGUAAAAGCAGACCCACAACUUUGACAACAAUCUCUACUGCUACACCUUCAUUAUCAUUUUCAUAUGGAAUGACUACACCACAGAAAAAAACAGCUGCAAUCCAGAAUUCAGCCAAUACUACAAGUAUGACAACAAAAUCUUUGACUACAACAGCUACAAGGAUGCCAUCAACAAGCAUGCAUAUACCACUUACUACAACAUCAAAAAUUAAUAUUCCCACAUUACAGACAACUACGCAUCACAACAUUACUUUCCACUAUAAAGCUUAUCAACAACUACAACAACAGCUUCAACAAAGAUGAUUGCUACACCUUCCGUUUUUUCAACAAGUGCCUUUUCACAAAAAAUUACAACACUAACAGACCAGAGUUCCCCAACUGGUGAAAGCAUCCCUACAACUCCUACAACAUUGUCUUCAGGUACACCUUCACCAACAUUUUCAACUGGCAUUACUGCACCACUGACUAAGACAUCAACAGCUCAAAAUUCCUCCAUUGUUACAACUUCAGUUUCUCCAACAAGUGCCGUUUUACAAAAAAUUACAACAUUAACAGUCCAGAGUUCCCCGACUAGUAAAAGCAUACCUACAACUGCAACAAAACUUUCUACAGGUACACCUUCACCAACAUUUUCAACUGGCAUUACUGCACCACUGACUAAAACAUCCACAAUCCAAAAUUCCUCCAUUGUCACAAGCAUAUAUAUAACUCCAACACCAAAAACAUCUUCUACAACUCCAUC